AUUGAACGCUGGCGGCAGGCCUAACACAUGCAAGUCGAACGAGUGGCGGACGGGUGAGUAAUGUCUGGGAAACUGCCUGAUGGAGGGGGAUAACUACUGGAAACGGUAGCUAAUACCGCAUACCAUCGGAUGUGCCCAGAUGGGAUUAGCUAGUAGGUGGGGUAAAGGCUCACCUAGGCGACGAUCCCUAGCUGGUCUGAGAGGAUGACCAGCCAAACUGGAAAUGAGACACGGUCCAGACUCAUACGGGAGGCAGCAGUGGGGAAUAUUGCACAAUGGGCGCAAGCCUGAUGCAGCCAUGCCGCGUGAAUGAAGAAGGCCUUCGGGUUGUAAAGUACUUUCAGCGGGGAGGCGGUACCUGCAGAAGAAGCACCGGCUAACUCCGUGCCAGCCGCCGCGGUAAUAC
rnacentral:rRNA from 1 species